ACUCCUACGGGAGGCAGCAGUGGGGAAGUAUUGCACAAUGGGGAACCGGUAGCAUGCAGCCAUGCCGCGUGUGUGAAGAAGGCCUUCGGGUUGUAAAGCACUUUCAGCGAGGAGGAAAGGGUGUGUGCUAAUACCAUACAUCUGUGACGUUACUCGCAGAAGAAGCACCGGCUAACUCCGUGCCAGCAGCCGCGGUAAUACGGAGGGUGCGAGCGUUAAUCGGAAUUACUGGGCGUAAAGCGUGCGCAGGCGGUUUGUUAAGCGAGAUGUGAAAGCCCG
rnacentral:rRNA from 1 species